rnacentral:rRNA from 1 species
AACGAACGCUGGCGGCAUGCCUAACACAUGCAAGUCGAACGAGACCUUCGGGUCUAGUGGCGCACGGGUGCGUAACGCGUGGGAACCUGCCCUUAGGUUCGGAAUAACUCCCCGAAAGGGGUGCUAAUACCGGACAAUGUCUUCGGACCAAAGAUUUAUCGCCUUUGGAUGGGCACGCGUUGGAUUAGCUAGUUGGUAGGGUAAAAGCCUACCAAGGAGACGAUCCAUAGCUGGGCUGAGAGGCUGAUCAGCCACACUGGGACUGAGACACGGCACAGACUCCUACGGGAGGCAGCAGUGGGGAAUAUUGGACAAUGGGCGAAAGCCUGAUCCAGCAAUGCCGCGUGAGUGAUGAAGGCCUUAGGGUUGUAAAGCUCUUUUACCCGGGAUGAUAAUGACAGUACCGGGAGAAUAAGCUCCGGCUAACUCCGUG